CUUUUUUUGGCAGAUUAGUGCAUUAAAUUUAGAAUUUAAACAUAGAAAUAUUUCUAAAAAAGA
rnacentral:tRNA from 1 species